rnacentral:rRNA from 1 species
CGCGCAGGCGGUCGAAUAAGUCGAAUGUGAAAGCCCCCGGCUCAACUGGGGAGGGUCAUUCGAUACUGCUCGACUCGAAGGCAGGAGAGGGAAGCGGAAUUCCCGGUGUAGUGGUGAAAUGCGUAGAUAUCGGGAGGAACACCAGUGGCGAAGGCGGCUUUCUGGCCUGUUCUUGACGCUGAGGCGCGAAAGCCAGGGGAGCAAACG